rnacentral:rRNA from 1 species
UGGUACGAAUGCGAAGCGAAGCAGUGAUGUGAAGCAAAUCGCACCAAAGCCAGUCCCAGUUCGGAUAAGAGGCUGAAACUCGCCUCUUUGAAGUCGGAAUCGCUAGUAAUCGCAGAUCAGCAUGUUGCGGUGAAUACGUUCCCGGGUCUUGUACACACCGCCCGUCAAACCAUGAGAGUCACCAACACCCGAAGUCCGCCUUGGCGGCCUAAGGUGGGGGAGAUGAUUGGGGUUAAGUCGUAACAAGGUAUC